rnacentral:tRNA from 1 species
GGAAGGUCAAGCCGAAAGCUGGCGACGGCAACUGUCUUGAAAACAGACGAGGUGUAACAGCCCUUGUGGGUUCGACCCCCACACCUUCCG